rnacentral:lncRNA from 1 species
UAAGACCCUGUGUUUGACUUUCUCUACUGCAGCCACAGAGACUGUGACGUGCUUGAAUGUUACUACAGAGUGCAAACGGAGCUUAGCUGUGGAUGGUUCUGAAAAUUUACCUGUGACUUCUCUUUCCUUAUGUAUUCCAGAUUUAUUGCAACCAAACAUCGGUUGCACCAUUUUCCGGGAACCAGAGUAUCUCUGCUGCCCCAAAUCCAACUAAUGCUACCACCAGAUCUGGGUGUAGCUCCCUGCAGUCCACAGCCGGUCUCCUGGCCCUCUCUCUCUCUCUCCUACAUCUCUACUGUUAGAGACUCAGGCCAAGAAACGUCUCUACUUCCCCAUCUAGACCCACCCCGAAUGGCAACCACAAGUCCAAUGUGAGUGACCAGGAAGAGACAGGUCCACAUCAAAUCGGCUGUUACCAUUACCUCAACAGAAAACACUGAGAAUCCGAAAUUCGACUGGCUUAAAGGACGCGUGAAGGGUUUGAGAGCUGAGAGAUGCCAAUAUGGGAUCUGCUGGAGUUUUAUGUCCGAGAUGAAGACAAGCAUCCAAAAUUGACGUGAUUUGCU